CCUGAGUUGAUUGACAGGUCACAGUACGUCUCCUUGAAAGAAGCGCAUUACGGAAAGACAAACGAAGGAGGCAGAAUAAUGGUGUUUCAAAACACGAAUGGAUCGAGAGGAACUUCUUUAAAUACAUGAUUGUGAAAUAAGUUUUCUGGUGGUUUCCUGGGACAGAUAAGAAUGAAGAGGAGGGAGAUAUUUCAGGCUUUUUUUUUAAGAAGCACAAGUGAGGCACAGCUCAGGCAGGCCAAGACAAACCGCAGCCCUGGCAGCUCUGAAGCUGGAGCUAGCCAGGAACAAGCGUGGUCAGACACAAGGACCCAGUCUACCAGCACCAGACAUGUCAAGAUCUGGAGAGGAGGGUCCUGUUCAGCUGUGUCUGAAAAUGUCUCCAAGAACUCAGCAUGGAACAAGGAAGAAGGCAUUCAACAAUUCUCGAUCUUUGAGUCAGAUGUAGAAGACCUAACACAUGAGGUUUACCAAACCAGAUGGCUUCUCCAGGGAAGAGAGACACGUGUAGUAGACGGACCAUUUACUAGGUUGUGUUUCUUGAACCUUAUAAAGAGGUCUGCCACAAGCUAUUUAGACUUUGUAAGAUUUGUAAGAUGUAAGAUUUCUGUUGUUAUUCCAGUCAGUACUGCAUUCUGUGAGAGACUUUUCUCUGCUCUCAAACUGAUUAAAAACCACCUCAGGACAACAAUGGUUGAUGCCAGGAUAAGUCACCCUGGCUCUCUCAGUAUUGAGUCGCGAGGGCACAUAACCUCAAUAUGGAUGACUUGGUAAAACAUUUUGCCAUUUCUCACCAGAACAGAAGAAUAAUUUGCCACUGGUGGUGCUUAUGUUCAUGAUCUUACUCUGCACUAUGUGCUGUUCAUACUUGAUGUAAACAUUUAUGUAAAAUGAUCUGGUUUCUGUUUAUAAUUCUUUUGUUUGUUAAAUAAACUCUCAAGUAUUUCACUGACUAAUCUCCUGUUUGCUUGAGCUUUACUUGCUGAAAAGAUUUCCACUUCAGGGUUUCCUCCAGGAUUUUUCUAAACCGUGGGGAAGGUCUGCCCGAGUGGAAGAGGGGUGGUGACGACGACGACGGCAACAUGAAUUUUGAAAUGUGAAAUUAUGACUAUUUCAAACUGAAUGUUUUUCUAAAUACAUUAUUUACUAUAGGGUUUCCGGUACAUGGCUUGAAAAUAAUAAUUGCAAAUAGGAUCUUGCAGUAUCACUAGGCCAAAACAACA
rnacentral:lncRNA from 1 species